rfam:Branchiostoma floridae genomic scaffold BRAFLscaffold_18, whole genome shotgun sequence.
AGUUAGGGCUGUUCUUCGCUGGAGUAGCUCUGUGACUAUGGGACCAUAGCUGCCUGGCGAAGAAUGGUCCCUUGA